AGGCUGGACUGUACUGCCGUGAUCUCGGCUUGCUGCAACCUCCCUGCCUCGGGCUCCCAUGAUUCUCCUGCCUCAGCCUGCCGAGUGCCUGGGAUUGCAGGCAUGCGCCACCACGCCUGACUGGUUUUUGUAUUUUUGGUGGAGAUGGGGUUUCGCUGUGUUGGCCGGGCUGGUCUCCAGCUCCUGACCUUGAGUGAUCUGCCCGCCUCGGCCUCCCGAGGUGCUGGGAUUGCAGACGGAGUCUCUCUCACUCAGUGCUGCCCAGGCUGGAGUGCAGUGGCGUGAUCUCGGCUCGCUACAACCUCCACCUCCCAGCCGCCUGCCUUAGCCUCCCAAAGUGCUAAGAUUACAGCCUCUGCCCAGCCGCCACCCUGUCUAGGAAGUGAGGAGUGUCUCUGCCCGGCCACCCAUCGUCUGGGAUGUGAGGAGCGCCUCUGCCUGGCUGCCCCGUCUGGGAUGUGAGGAGCGCCUCUGCCCGGCCGCCACCCUGUCUGGGAAGUGAGGAGAGCCUCUGCCCGGCCGCCACCCUGUCUAGGAAGUGAGGAGAGCCUCUGCCCGGCUGCCACCCCGUCUUGGAUGUGAGGAGCGCCUCUGCCCGGCCGCCCCGUCUGGGAGGUGAGGGGCGCCUCUGCCCGGCCACCCCAUCUGGGAGCCUUUCUGCAGGUGUACCCAACAGCUCCGAGGAGACAGUGACCAUCGAGAACGGGCCAUGAUGACGAUGGCGGUUUUGUCGAAAAGGAAAGGGGGAAAUGUGGGGAAAAGAAAGAGAGAUCAGACUGUUACUGUGUCUGUGUAGAAAGAAGCAGACCAAGGAGACACCAUUUUGUUCUGUACUAAGAAAAAUUCUUCUGCCUUGGGAUGCUGUUAAUCUAUGACCUUACCCCCAACCCCGUGCUCUCUGAAACCUGUGCUGUGUCAACUCAGGGUUAAAUGGAUUAAGGGCGGUGCAAGAUGUGCUUUGUUAAACAGAUGCUUGAAGGCAGCAUGCUCGUUAAGAGUCAUCACCACUCCCUAAUCUCAAGUACCCAGGGACACAAACACUGUGGAAGUCCGCAGGGACCGCUGCGUAGGAAAACCAGAGACCUUUGUUCAAGUGUUUAUCUGCUGACCUUCUCUCCACUAUUGUCCUAUGACCCUGCCACAUCCCCCUCUCUGAGAAACACCCAGGAAUGAUUGAUAAAUACUAAAAUAAAUAAAUAAAUAAAAUAAAAACUUGAUUUUGA
rnacentral:lncRNA from 1 species